rnacentral:rRNA from 1 species
GGAAUAUUGCCCAAUGGACGAAAGUCUGAGGCAGCAACGCCGCGUGCGCGAUGAAGGCCUUCGGGUCGUAAAGCGCUUUUCGGGAGGAUGAGGAAGGACAGUACUCCCGGAAUAAGGAACGGCUAACUACGUGCCAGCAGCCGCGGUAAAACGUAGGUUCCGAGCGUUAUCCGGAUUUACUGGGCGUAAAGCGUGUUCAGGCGGCGCAGUCAGUCGGGCAUGAAAUCUCUCGGCUCAACCGGGAGAGGCUGUCCGAAACAGCUGGGCUUGAGGGCAGUAGAGGGUGGUGGAAUUCCGGGUGUAGUGGUGAAAUGCGUAGAUAUCCGGAGGAACACCAGUGGCGAAAGCGGCCACCUGGACUGUACCUGACGCUCAAACACGAAAGCUAGGGGAGCGA